rnacentral:ncRNA from 1 species
CUACCUCAACUCAUAUGGGACUACCCCCGUGAAUUUAAGCAUAUUAAUUGAGGGGAGGAAAAGAAACUAACAAGGAUUUUCUUAGUAGCGGCGAGCGAAAAGAAAUCAGUUCAGCACUAAGUCACUUUGUCUAUAUGGCAAAUGUGAGAUGCAGUGUACGGAACAUCAACAUUCUAGUAUGAGAAGUUAACGAUUUAAGUCCUUCUUAAAUGAGGCCAUUUACCCAUAGAGGGUGCCAGGCCCGUAUAACGUUAAUGAUUACUAGAUGGUGUUUCCAAAGAGUCGUGUUGCUUGAUAGUGCAGCACUAAGUGGGUGGUAAACUCCAUCUAAAACUAAAUAUAACCAUGAGACCGAUAGUAAACAAGUACCGUGAGGGAAAGUUGAAAAGAACUCUGAAUAGAGAGUUAAAUAGUACGUGAAACUGCUUAGAGGUUAAGCCCGAUGAACCUGAAUAUCCGUUAUGGAAAAUUCAUCAUUAGAAUUGUAAUAUUUUAAACAAUAUUAUAAUAAUAGUGUGCAUUUUUUCCAUAUAAGGACAUUGUAAUCUAUUAGCAUAAAUAUUUAUCAUAAAAUUAUGUCUGAUUGCUUAUUUGAAUUAUAUGCUUGGCAUUUUAACAUAAAAUAAAAGAUAUAAAUUUGAUAAAGUGCUGAUAGAUUUAUAUGAUUACAGUGCGUUAAUUUUUCGGAAUUAUAUAAUGGCAUAAUUAUCAUUGAUAUUUGUGUUUAUUAUAUGCAUUUGUAUGAUUAACAAUGCGAAAGAUUCAGGAUACCUUCAGGA